UAAGGAAUAUUGGUCAAUGGACGCAAGUCUGAACCAGCCAUGCCGCGUGAAGGAUGAAGGUCCUCUGGAUUGUAAACUUCUUUUAUCUGGGACGAAAACGGGAUUUUUAUCUCAAUUGACGGUACCAGAGGAAUAAGCACCGGCUAACUCCGCGCCAGCAGCCGCGGUAAUACGGAGGGUGCGAGCGUUAUCCGGAUUUACUGGGUUUAAAGGGUGCGUAGGUGGGCUUAUAAGUCAGUGGUGAAAUCUCCGAGCUUAACUUGGAAACUGCCGUUGAUACUAUAGGUCUUGAAUUAUCUGGAGGUGAGCGGAAUAUGUCAUGUAGCGGUGAAAUGCUUAGAUAUGACAUAGAACACCAAUUGCGAAGGCAGCUUACUACAUAUAAAUUGACGCUGAGGCACGAAAGCGUGGGGAUCAAACA
rnacentral:rRNA from 1 species